rnacentral:rRNA from 1 species
AUGGCCAUGGCGAGCCGCAAGCAGCUCCUACUCCCGUGCCUCAUCCUGCUCUUCGUCGCCGCUGCCGCAGUGGCCGAGGCGUCGCCGCGCGCCCAGCCGCAGUCCACGUACAUCGUGCACCUCGCGCCCGAUCACCCGGCCCUGUCCCUCUCCCCAGCGCGCGGCGGCCGCAACGCGCUGCUCGGCCCCCUCCUCGGCCUCCCGCGCCGCCUGAGCGCGCCGCGGCCGCGCCUGCUCUACACCUACGCGCGCGCCGCCACGGGCGUGGCCGCGCGGCUCACCGAGGCACAGGCGGCGCACGUCGCGGCCCAGCCGGGCGUGCUGGCCGUGCACCGCGACCAGGCGCGCCAGCUCCACACCACCCACACCCCGGAGUUCCUCCACCUCAACAGCGCGGCCGGGGUCCUCCCUGCCGCGUCCGGCUCCGGCGCCGUGUCGGACGUCGUGGUGGGCGUGCUCGACACCGGGAUCUACCCGCUCAACCGCAGCUCCUUCAAGCCCGUCGGCGACGGGCUCGGCCCCCCGCCCUCCUCCUUCUCCGGCGGCUGCGUCUCGGCCGCCAAGUUCAACGCCUCCGCCUUCUGCAACAGCAAGCUCAUCGGCGCCAAGUUCUUUUACAAGGGCUACGAGGAGGGCCUCGGGCACCCCAUCAACGAGACGCUAGAGUCCAAGUCGCCGCUGGACACAGAGGGCCACGGCACCCACACCGCUUCCACGGCCGCCGGGUCGCCGGUGGACGGCGCCGGGUUCUACCAGUACGCGCGCGGGAGGGCCGUCGGCAUGGCCCCCACCGCGCGCAUCGCCGCGUACAAGAUCUGCUGGAAGUCCGGCUGCUUCGACUCCGACAUACUCGCGGCGUUCGACGAGGCCGUCGGCGACGGCGUCAACGUCAUCUCGCUCUCCGUCGGCUCCACCUACGCCGCAGACUUCUACGAGGACUCCAUCGCCAUCGGCGCCUUCGGGGCAGUGAAGAAGGGCAUCGUCGUCUCCGCCUCCGCGGGCAACUCCGGCCCCGGAGAGUACACCGCGAGCAACAUCGCGCCGUGGAUACUGACCGUCGGCGCGUCCACCGUCGACCGUGAGUUCCCCGCCGACGCGGUGCUCGGCGACGGCAGUGUGUACGGCGGCGUGUCACUGUACGCCGGGGAUCCCUUAAACUCCACGAAGCUGCCCCUCGUGUACGCCGCGGACUGUGGAUCCCGGCUUUGCCUCAUCGGCGAGCUUGACAAGGACAAGGUCGCCGGAAAGAUCGUCCUCUGUGAGCGCGGAGUCAACGCCCGUGUCGAGAAGGGCGCGGCCGUCGGGAAGGCCGGCGGAAUCGGCAUGAUUCUCGCCAACACGGAGGAGAGCGGCGAGGAGCUCAUCGCCGACCCCCACCUCAUCCCGUCGACAAUGGUGGGGCAGAAGUUCGGCGACAAGAUCAGGCACUACGUCAAGACAGACCCGUCCCCGACGGCGACCAUCGUCUUCCACGGCACGGUCAUCGGGAAGUCGCCGUCCGCGCCGCGCGUCGCGUCGUUCUCGAGCCGCGGCCCCAACUCCCGCGCGCCGGAGAUCCUCAAGCCCGACGUCACAGCCCCCGGCGUCAACAUACUCGCGGACUGGACCGGCGAGGCCUCCCCCACCGACCUCGACAUCGACCCGAGGCGCGUCCCGUUCAACAUCAUCUCGGGGACGUCCAUGUCGUGCCCGCACGUGAGCGGCCUCGCGGCGCUGCUCCGGCAGGCGCACCCGGACUGGAGCCCCACGGUGGUCAAGUCGGCGCUCAUGACCACGGCAUACAACAUGGACAACUCCGGCGAGAUCAUCAAGGACCUGGCCACCGGCACAGAGUCCACGCCGUUCGUGCGCGGCGCCGGGCACGUGGACCCCAUCAGCGCCCUCAAUCCCGGCCUGGUGUACGACGCGGACACCGCCGACUACAUCGGCUUCCUCUGCGCGCUCGGCUACACGCCAGCCCAGAUCGCCGUCUUCACCAGGGACGGCUCCGUCGCCGACUGCUCGAAGAAGCCGGCCCGCUCCGGCGACCUCAACUACCCGGCCUUCGCGGCCGUCUUCUCGUCGUACAAGGACUCCGUCACCUACCACCGGGUGGUGCGCAACGUCGGCAGCGACGCCAGCGCGGUCUACGAGGCCAAGGUCGAGAGCCCUGCCGGCGUGGACGCCAAGGUGACGCCGGCCAAGCUGGUGUUCGACGAGGAGCACCGGAGCCUGGCGUACGAGAUCACCCUCGCCGUGUCCGGCAACCCGGUGAUCGUGGACGCCAAGUACUCGUUCGGGUCCGUCACGUGGAGCGACGGCAAGCACAAUGUCACGAGCCCCAUCGCCGUGACGUGGCCGGAGAGCGCCGGAGCGGCGUCCAUGUAG